CCUACGGGGGGCAGCAGUGGGGAAUAUUGGGCAAUGGAGGAAACUCUGACCCAGCAACGCCGCGUGAAUGAUGAAGGUCGUCGGAGGGUAAAGUUCUUUUCGAAGGGAAGAAGAAAGUGACGGUACCUUAGGAAUAAGCCUCGGCUAACUACGUGCCAGCAGCCGCGGGAAUACGUAGGAGGCGAGCGUUAUCCGGCAGGACGGGGCGUAAAGGGUGCGUAGGUGGUUGGGCAAGGUAGGAGCGUACCUCCCGGGCUCAACCUUGGAACGACUACGAAAACUGUUGGACUUGAGUGCAGGAGGGGCAACCGGAAUUCCUCGUGUAGCGGUGUAAUGCGUAGAUAUUAG
rnacentral:rRNA from 1 species